UGCAAUAGUAUUGGGAUUCUGCAACAGAAUCAAACCACUGAGACCAAAGAAGGAGGAGGGGAAAGUAGCACCAACAAUGCAACAUUAUUUGCUUCACUGAUAUCACAAACAGCCACUGACAUUGAGACACUCAUUGAGUCACUCCCUGAUCAGGAAUACACUCCAGAGAAGCAGGAAGAAACUUUGAAGAACCUUGUUGCUGAGAAUCAAGUUUCUGGAGAAAAAUUAAGACACGUCAUCAAUGAAGCCGAGUCAAUGUUGAAACAAGUCAGACUUAUCAAUAAGACUAUUAGUGAUCGUCAACAUAAACUUACAAAUUAAUUAUGUUUUAUUUUUAAUCACUAUUAGACAUAUACUUUGAUAUAAUUGUCAAUAAUGCAUAAUGCAUUAAAGUAGUGCUUUCCAGGUAUUAUUAUUGAAUAGAUAGCAAGCUAUUCCAUAUCAAAUUUCAUGUGAACUGUCUACAUUAUGUGAACUCAAUUCCUUGUAUUGCUAGCUGCAGCUAUGAAGUUCAAUCCCAAAUGAAUUGACCUGCAAUAGCCUUUACCGUGGGAUUUGUCUCUAAGAGCAUGCUUACAGUUCAAUAAAGCAUUUUAAUUGAGUCAAAGCUACACUAUAAAAAAACUUCUCAAGAUCAACAAUUUGAGUGCACCAAAUCACUUACUCUUUAAGGAUGUCUCCAAUCUUCUUGUUGUCUUUGCUACUCAUUGCUAUUGCUUGCAGUGAUGGUGCUACCACUGCAAAGAAAAGAAGUGCAUCAGAUGUCACUAAAUGGCUGGAAAAGAUCGAUAGCAGAUUGCACAGUGAAGGACUAAUGGCUUAUCAGAAUUAUUCUGUGUGCACAAACCAACUCAACAACAUCCUCCCUUUGUAUUGUAACAUAUCAGAGCUUUCUGGUAGAAUAUCUUCACUGCUUGCAUCAUCUUUGUCAAAUGCACAGCUUGAUCAACUCAAUGCUGCCUACUCUCAACUCUGUGUCCCUGAAUGCCUUAAUCCUAUUGAAGGGUACUACAAUUGUCUGAAACUUCAAUUUGAUCACAAAAACUAUCUUGUCACAUUACUUCGUCAAGGUAUCUGUGGACAAGAC